UGGAAGUAAAAAUCGUAACAAGGUUUCCGUAGGUGAACCUGCGGAAGGAUCAUUAAAGAGUAAGGGUGCUCAGCGCCCGACCUCCAACCCUCUGUUGUUAAAACUACCUUGUUGCUUUGGCGGGACCGCUCGGUCUCGAGCCGCUGGGGAUUCGUCCCAGGCGAGCGCCCGCCAGAGUUAAACCAAACUCUUGUUAUAUAAACCGGUCGUCUGAGUUAAAAUUUUGAAUAAAUCAAAACUUUCAACAACGGAUCUCUUGGUUCUCGCAUCGAUGAAGAACGCAGCGAAAUGCGAUAAGUAAUGUGAAUUGCAGAAUUCAGUGAAUCAUCGAAUCUUUGAACGCACAUUGCGCCCCUUGGUAUUCCGAGGGGCAUGCCUGUUCGAGCGUCAUUACACCACUCAAGCUAUGCUUGGUAUUGGGCGUCCGUCCCUUCGGGGGCGCGCCUUAAAGACCUCGGCGAGGCCUCACCGGCUUUAGGCGUAGUAGAAUUUAUUCGAACGUCUGUCAAUGGAGAGGACUUCUGCCGACUGAAACCUUUUAUAUUUUUCUAGGUUGACCUCGGAUCAGGUAGGGAUACCCGCUGAACUUAAGCAUAUCAAUA
rnacentral:rRNA from 1 species